GACAGAGGGGGCAAGCGUUGCUCGGAAUUACUGGGCGUAAAGGGCGCGUAGGCGGGAUGGCAAGUCGGUCGUGAAAUCCCUCGGCUCAACUGAGGAUCGUCGAUCGAUACUGCCGUUCUUGAGGAUUGCAGAGGAGACUGGAAUUCUCGGUGUAGCGGUGAAAUGCGUAGAUAUCGAGAGGAACACCUGCGGCGAAGGCGGGUUGCCGGGCUGACACUGACGCUGAUGCGCGAAAGCCAGGGGAGCGAACGGG
rnacentral:rRNA from 1 species